rnacentral:rRNA from 1 species
UACGGAGGGUGCAAGCGUUAGUCGGAAUUACUGGGCGUAAAGGGUGCGUAGGCGGGUAUAUAAGUCAGACGUGAAAUUCCGAGGCUCAACCUCGGAGCGGCAUCUGAAACUAUAUAUCUUGCGGAAUGGCGGAGAAAACGGAAUUCCACGUGUAGCGGUGAAAUGCGUAGAUAUGUGGAAGAACACCUGUGGCGAAAGCGGUUUUCUAGCUUACUCCGGACGCUGAGGCACGAAAGCAAGGGGAUCAAACAGG